AUCCAGCUGACGAGUUCCAAAUAGAACGGAACGCGCGUCCUGGAU
rnacentral:hammerhead_ribozyme from 1 species